CUAGGCUGGCCCCGAGCCAGACGCACACCAGUGCAAGGGAAUCCGGUGAGACUCCGGAGCUGUCGCGCAGCGGUGAGGGUGACUGGCGGGGUGCAAGCCACUGGGCGGUGAGGCCUGGGAAGGAACCCCGCCGGGUCGACCCCGAGUCCGAAAACCUGCUGGCUCGCUGCAUCCGCA
rnacentral:ncRNA from 2 species